rnacentral:lncRNA from 1 species
UGAUUUGCAGAAUUUUAAACAAUUUAUUUUUCCUUCUUGCAGAAGCAAAGCUUCCUAAAACAUACAACAGUUAUAUUUUAAAUACUAAUUCAACUUAUGCAGUACUUACACUCUGUAACUGAGAUCACUCACACGAAAAUAUUUUACAAAAUGCGUGGAACGUGCAAUACUGAGACUACUGAUAUCUGAAUAACGGAAAAGGAAGUACUUAGAGCAAGUUGCUGGUUGCAUACACGGUAUUGAAUCGACUAAACAAUAUAACCAAUAAGAUUUUAACUUCUUUUUAUUCCUUAAUACCGUCAAGUCAACCUUGUUAAAAAUGCCAUUAAUCAUCAAGUGGUGGAUGUGGAGUGUGACGGUUAUUUGCUCCUGAUCCCGGAUAGUCGCCUCUUUCUAUAUCCAUCCUGCGAUUAAUCAACUCUCCAUCGAUUUCUAUGGUUUCUUCAACAUUUUGUUCUGUUGUGAUCUUCUUCAUUGAUGAAAAGACAAAAUAAAAUAAAUAAAUAAGUAAAACAGAAUUUAUAAAAAGACAUCAGUAUUAUAUAAUAGAAGUUAGCUAUAUGUUUUAUGGUUAAAAGUUCAACUUUAUGUAACAUACCUGGAAAGUAUUCCCAGGUAUUGGAAUAUCCUUUCUUUCUUGUAACAGGAGGAUAGUUCCUGUAAAUACCAACAAAUUAAGUUCAGCGAAAAAACGGAUUAGUAAGCAAAAAAAGCACACAUACCCCAGCAUGUAUUUAAGUUGGAUUGGCCAAUGUAAGAUAGAAAAACGAAUAUAACAAGUUGAAAUCUUGUCUUCUUUCCAGUACAAACAUUUAACUUAGGCUAUGAGAAUAGAAGAUUUACUCGAUGUCGGGACAGCAUUCAAAGAAAUAAGGCAAGAUAAAGCCAGUAAAGUCACAAGUAGAUGAAGUGCAUUGCCUGCCAUUUUCU